AAUUUUAACUGAUACUAGAACACACCCGUGAUAUCACGGGUCCGAGACUGAAUUAAAGUAUAUAACUAUGCGCAAGCCUUAUUUUAGUAUUAGUAUUGUCAUCUGAUAAAGUCAUGCCGAUUAUAAGAUACACAGUUUUUCUCUGCUUUCAAGUUGUUCUGUUUGAACCCGUCGAACUGAAACAAUAAUAUUAAUUAUUUGGAAAACAAAAGGUCCUGGAAUGGAGUAUUUUUUAAUCAACAGCAUUGUCCUAUAUAAGUUAUAAAUAAAGUUGAAUUCUUUGCGUCGCUGUUUUACGUCAUGCCCACUAACAAAUUGAAAACUGUACCUAUACGCCUUAUUUUUAGUCCAGAUUUUUAGUAUUCGUAUUGUUAUCUUAGAAAGUCUUACUGAUUAAAAUACUACAAUAGGUAACAAUUUGACAAUUUAGUAGUGUCAACCCUGUGGUUAUGACCCGUGUAUAUAGCAUAUUAAUCCUGAAUACAACGUUUGGUGGUGCGCCUGUUAGAUGCGGAACGUACAGAUAAGGUAAUAGGUAACAGGUGAAUAUACUAUUGGUAUCGGUAUCGGACUCGACCCGGAACUUCUUAAUUAUUGGCAAUAUUGAUUACGUGGAAAACAAAAGGGC
rnacentral:lncRNA from 1 species